rnacentral:rRNA from 1 species
UACAGAGGGGGCAAGCGUUAUUCGGAAUUAUUGGGCGUAAAGGGCGCGUAGGCGGCUUGGCAAGUGGAUGGUGAAAUCCCUCGGCUUAACCGAGGAACUGCCAUCCAGACUGCUUUGCUUGAGGCCGGGAGAGGUGAGUGGAAUUCCCAGUGUAGCGGUGAAAUGCGUAGAUAUUGGGAGGAACACCAGUGGCGAAGGCGGCUCACUGGACCGGUUCUGACGCUGAUGCGCGAAAGCGUGGGGAGCGAACAGG